rnacentral:misc_RNA from 1 species
AAGUCGUAACAAGGUAACCGUAGGUGAACCUGCGGUUGGAUCAUUUACGAUCUGCACCCUGUCAAAGGGUCGAUCCACAACUGUGCACCCUUUGCCGUGUUUGGCGGCAGGACGGUUCGAAGUUCCCCUGGGGUCGCAAGAUUCCCUGAGACUUGCACCGUCCGCGUCGGAGGUCGCGAGUCCUCGUUCCCCCGGCGUUUGCCGCCAGUGAAACAAACAUCUUGCACUUUGGACUGAUCAUUACGUCACGCAAGUGAUAAAAUCCGAAACAACUUUCGACAAUGGAUCUCUUGGCUCUC